AUUAAAAAGUAAAACUUGCGUGAUCAGAAAGAGCUUAUGAAGAAAUAAAACUGAUCUCCCAUAAGAAAUCUUGCAAUGGCGUUAAGAGAUUCUGAAUCAAGCCCAAGUCAGCAACUGAAAAACAGAAUUUGCUGAUUUCCUGGUAAUGAUUAUUACAACAACACAUAGAGCUUUAAAUCUCUUUCAACAUUUGUCCUGAAAGUUGUCUCUGGAACUUCACGGCUGUAACAGAAGUUGUGCCAUUGCUUCAGGAAGACAAAGGUAUUGAAACUAAAGGGCUUUUCCAGGAGCUGGAGAUAUUCCCCCGUUUCAGGUGUGUUCCAUCAUCCCCACUGAGGAGAUAUUUUUCUUUGCUUCAGAUAUGUAAUUUCCUCAAAAAGGAUAUAUUACAGUACAGUUGAAGUGAACUACCUCAAAUAAGAAUGAGGAUUGAAAAUGUGGCUUAAUUUUCAUUUCCUUGCACAAAUCCAUUAGAAUGUCAUAGCUGGUUUGUCCAGCAGAGAGCCUGGAAAAUGAAGACCUGUCAAGAUCUCCACACAGGGGAAAGCAUUGCAUCUUUUAAUGAGUUCCACAGCACAACCAUGUGCCAAGCAAAAUCUUCACUUGAUCUAAAAGUACACGGAAUGUAGAGUCCUAUGGAUAGAGUGAUCCAAAGACAAAGAGAUUUGAUGCUUCUACCCAAACAAUUUCUUGGUGUGCUUUUCAUUUGCAAACUGCAGAGCUUUAAUCACACUGGCUUGGAGUACGUGCUUAUCCCAGGGUGGACAGGUUUUGAGCACUCGAGGUCCUUAUGUGUGGGAUGCAGCAAAAUCCAUCCUCUGAAUAUAAAGGAAUUUCCUCCUCUGGCAGAUUUUGUCUUUUUUAAUCCUGAGUGAGUGCAUGGUGAGGAGGAAUAUAUUUCACUGGAAAUGGCAAGAUAAUAAAACCAACAUAAAGAAAACCCAAGUUCAAGUGAAAUAUAUACAGGAAGGGAAAGGGCAGUCUCAAAUUUAUGAGUAAAGCUUUUCAGUGGAAAAUUGGGUUUCUGUCUUCAGUUCUGAGACUCCCUUUUGCUGAGAAGCCUCAUACACAGCUCACUGUUUUAUACCAUAUUGUACCAGAAAUGAGGUCAUCACUGAAGCUUCACUGAAGAUGAAGGGACCAAAGAAAGACUGAACUAUGGUUCUGUCGCAUUAUUUCUGCAUCCCUAUGUGACAAUGUUUUGACUCUUACAAAUUAAAAAAAAAGGCCAGCUUCCUAUACUUUUCUGAAAACUCCAAAUUUCCACAGCUACAAAUCUUAUUUUAUAAAAAUCUAUUCUGUGGCUGUUUGGAUUUCACCUAUAUUUAAUUUUUUCAAAGUGACUUCUGGCAUAAGUAAAAAGCAUGUGGGAAUUUAAAGGUUUUCCAUCUUCAAUUUCAGGUAUUGUUUUGCUCCCCAAGGAAAAUUUCAUCCUCCCUGCAUGCUUCUGAGGACUUUUCUAAAGAACGCUGCCAAAUACAACUCCAUCUCUCUUUCUGCUUUCUACUGUUGUUGUUGUUGUUGUUGUUGUUUAAGAGAUCAGGGUGUCAGGGCAGUUUGAAUUUAUCAUAUCAUAGAAUCCUGAGAGUUGGAAGGGACCUCUGAAGGCCAUCUAGUCCAACUCCCCUGCAGUGAACUGGGACACCACAGCUGUAUUAGGUUGCCUGGGGCCUGAUCCAACCUCACUUUGAAAGUCUCCAGGUACAGAGCAUCGACCACAGCACUAGUUAACCUGUUCUAGUGCCUCACCACCCUCAUAUAUACUACUAAGAUGACUUGAACAGAGGUCCUUCCACCCAUCCUCAUGGGUUCAGAACAGCAGGUGUUCCAGACUGCAGUGAAACCAAUUGCUUUCACGGGCAAGCAAACUGAUAUUCAAGUAUCUAACUGGAUACAAUAUCAGCUUUCAGCAAGACAAUAUGCAGCUUUUCUCUGGAGUCCAUUCCAUAAUAUUGUUUUGUACUUUUUUUUUCUUGUGAUCAGUACUCAGCUAAUUCUGAUUAGCCACGUUUUAUAUUUCUAGUUCUGCAUUGAGCAGGUUCUACCAUCCUGUUGCCCGCUUUCCAUCCUAUUUUUCUCUUCCUUGCCUCAUUUGACUGCCAGGUCUCCAGGUUAUCAUUACACAAAUCUCAGCGUAACAGCACUGUGAUCUUAAAUGAAUUUAUAUAGUAUGAUUAUCAUGGUAGGAAAGAAUUAAAAAUGAAUUAAGCUUUUCUAAGCAAUAUUUCUUGGCUGAAAUGAAAGAAGCUAAAUUUGUCUUACACUGCUCAAUAAGGGAUACACUAAAAAUUAAUGAGUAAAGCUAACAUUUACCAUUCCAGAGCAUAAAUGUAACGUUAUUAUUUUCAAAUACGUAUGGAAAUCAAGAACAAAUUAUAACUUUCUGUUUGAAAUAGGAACAUGCCAGGUAUCAUUGCCAGUACCAGAGUUUAUUUUCCAGCACUCUGAACUUGGUGCAGUAAUGACAGCUUGGUAAUGCUAUUAAAGUUUGUACUACAUUGCUGGAUUCAGGAAUGCAUUGUGUUACAAUUAAUUCCAUCUCUGUGAGAGCCACUUUUCUUGUUUGUUUUAUUUUUUAUUUUUAUUUUUAAGACUUGGCCAGUAAUUAAUUUUUUAAUCAAGAUUAAGAUACAGUGUCAUUACUGAUUCAGGUCUAAUAAUGAGCAUUAUAAGCCUAGUAGGGAAGGCAGCUGUUUGCUUGCCUUUUUGUUCUUUCCCAUUCACAUUUGCCAGGUUAAUACUGUGCAUGCAGAUUUUCAUUUGGACCGUAUUAGUGUACAAUCUUAAAGUUAAAAAGCCAGAAUAUUUUGAAUUCCAGUAAUCCUCAGCUGUACUCAAUACAAUAGGCUUUGUAGUUAUACAUUAACUAAUUAUCUCUGUGCAGCACUCUAGGUGAAUUCCAACACGAGUGCUCUAAUAAUGUAAUUAAAAAUGUAUAAAAGAAUUAAAAAUGAACUAAAGGGAGAUCAUACAAAACUCUUUAAAUCUGGAUGAGAUUUAAGCCCCUCAGUUUUAAAGGACCUGCAGUCAGUAGAUUAAGAGUGUUUGGGAUGCCAACCUCAUGCAAUGUAAUGUAAGCUUCAAAUCAAGCAAACAAAAGAUCUCGAGAACUCUUGAGCUGUCAUGGCUGAAAAGUCAGCGUUACCUUGCAAAUAGAAAUACUAUGCAAAUAAACAUUGCUGUCAAUACUGAUCAGCCCUUUUUAGCAGACACCAAAGGUGAUAAGAAAUUGGAAUAUUUUGUAGCUAAGUCCAAACAUAGGAGGGAUUUCAGCUGUUUCUUUGCCCCAGGUCAGGGUAGUUCUGGGUGUCAGUGGACAGCUCAGCUGAUGCAAUGGGCCAUGAAGGACAACACCCAGCAAAGCUGGCCCUGUCUGUUUUCAGCUCUGCAAAUAUUGCCCCCAAACAAGCUGGAGCCCAGACGUGUUCCAAGCAUACACAAAAGCAUGAUGUUAUGUUUCAUCCUGCUUUUUAUACAAACUUCUGCUGCUGCUCUGUUCUCCCCCAGGCAGUUUUCAACUGUGUAUAGAGCAGGAACAGCCCUGGGGCCUCCCGUGUCCUGCAGACAGCCCUAGGGAGCACAGGCAGAGCAUCACAGGCUGUCCCAUCCUCACUGCAUGUUCUUCCCAGCAGGCGAGGAUGAGGCAUACAGGUGGUUUUGACCUGAAGGAACAUUUAAUGCCAAGAGAGGCCACAAGGAGAAAGACUGCUAUUCUCCUUGACACUGACUGCCAGGGAAGCCUCUGGAAAAUAAAAAAUUAAAUGAGGAUAGGCCAACUAUACUAGAGUAUCUAUUUAUAAUCAGCAUCUAUUUAUGAUCAAAUAUAUUUCUCAAGUAAACACAGCGAACAGCUUCCUCUGUUUGUAAUCUGCAGUAGUUCAGAGACAUCUAUUUUGCAAGAAAACUAACAAGCUAUUUUUCCUUUCUGCCAGACUUCUGUCUCAGGGCUAUAUGCUUCCCUUCAGCUCUGUGUGUGACUGCAUUGUGAAUUGAGGACAGUGAAUGACCUAAGCCAGCAACAUCACAUAAAGGACCAAGUAUACACAGUGGGAUUUACUGAGGAAACUGGCAAUAAUAACAAACAUCUGCAAUAAAACAUCAAAGGCAAAGUGCUCUCUAAUUGAUGUGUACAUGGAAGACAAAACGGGUAAUAUAGAAUAUCAUUUAGCACCCUUAACUUUAGAUAUCUUAGUGUUUCUAUUGCAGCUCCCUUUCUCUGUGAAUCCACUGUUAUUUUAUUUAUUUACUCCUCUCCUUGGGAUUUUAAAUAUGUGAUUUUUUUUUUUUUCUGUAUAAGUAGUAUUCUUGUAAGUCUAACAGAGGAAAUAAGAAUAUCACCAUGUGAACAAGGAUAGUAAAGCAUUCCAAGUCCAGAAGUGUCUUCUGUAACCACUCUGAUUGCCAUUCAAAAUGGCAAUAGGAACUGUAUGCAAUCAUACGUGCCUACAGGUUCAAAGUCCUUCUUUAAAUUCAUUUCUUCCUGUUUGCUUUUUUCAAUACAUAAAUUAGUAUGAGGAUUUCAUAUCUUUUCCUGCAGAGAGAAGCAGUGGCCAUUUCUCAGGUGGACUUCAGCUGAGGGAAACGCUUUAGGAACAACUACACUUCAGUGGGGAAUCAAUGGGAAUGAAGUGUGUGCUCUCCUUAAUAGUGUUUUCUUUAAUUAUGCCUGAGUUUUUCUGAGGUAUUCCUUUGCUACUCAGUUACUACACUGUUUUGCUUUUGCCCUUAUUAAAAAGCAUGCAUUGCUACAACUGUUUUUGAAACUUUCUAGGUUGCUGGUUUGUCUCAGGGGAAAAAAAAUUCAAAAUGUAGGUAAAGUAUAGCUUUUUAAGGAAACACAGUGUUGUGCAUGAGGUUACUUUCCUCUGUGAUAUUCAAUCCUAAAAUGAACUCAGGGUGUUAUCCAACAAACUGAAGUCACUGUAAGGGAAAUGCCUUUCCUCAGGAUCCUGUGAGGCUGAGGCCAACAUCCAUUAUCUCUGAGAAGAGGAAAGGCAGAGCUGUGAGCAGACAUCCCAGAAAAAUCAGGGAAAGUUCUUUGAAAAUGAAGGUGCUACCAGCUUCUUUCUAUCUCCAGUAGGUUUUAUUCAGUACGGAGUUCACAAUACAAACUUACCAGCAACAUUUUCAACAGGAAAAAUAAAAGCACUUCGUAUCACUCCUCCCAAAUUCCUCCUGCAGCUCUGUUGUUACACUCAAGGCUUUUCUCAGACAAAAGAGAGAUAUGCUCAGGUCCUUACUGAGAACAGAUUACUAUCAAGGUUUUGUCAAGACAGAUAACGACCACAAAUCUGUUUCAAUCUGUGUUCUCAAAGGACUGAUAGCAGGCACCUGGUGCAACAGCUGAAGUUCAAUUGAGCAUGGGCCAAAACUCUGAGUCAGCCAUCUUACCCCAUAAAUAGUGACCAGCCUAAGAACAAUAGUUCUUUCUUCUUGAGUAGGGAUGUGUUUUGAGGUUAUACCUGCUGCAGAGGUCCCUUGCUCUUUGGCAUCAAUGUACCUUGCUGCUACAGCUCCUUGACUUCAUACAAACCAAAUGAUGGAUGAAAUGGAGGAUAUUACCUGCGAAGGGACUGAAGGUGAUCCUUUAUUAGAUAUCAGAGAAUCCAGCUGAUCAACACUCUUCCUACAAAAUAAAUACAACUUCGUAAGGGCUGCUACCAGUCUGUACCUAAAGAAGAUGAAAAGUCAGCAGAGAGAGCAAAUUGCAAGCACGUUUAAGUAAUAAAACACAGCAGGGUAUGCUGUUGUUAGGGUAGACACCCUGAAGUGUCUUAAUGUGAUUAUAAUGUGACUUCUUGAAACCAAACAAUUAUAACUAUGCUAGAUAAAAUAUUAUUCAUAUUCUAUAGGGUUAAAUGAAAGCCAAACGUUUUUGGUUUUUUUAACAUAUAACUGCAGUUCUAACGGCAUUUCAAGAGAGCUUUAUCAAAAAUCCUUUUGUUCUUAGUAAAGUAUUCAAUGUGUUAUAGUGCCGUUCAAAAUUACAACUGUGCCCUAUGUUUAGUACAGCCACAGAAGUCAAUGCAACAAAGACUUAAUUUAAAAAUAUAUGUAGAAAUUCUAUUUUGCUUUGUUAGCUGGCAAAUAAACGGAAUGUUCCUUCAUCAUACAACUGUGAAGUUAGAAACCCUUUAUUUUUGACGUUGAAACUGAUCAAACAUAAGAGCAAGUUGCCCAGAGGUGUUAUAGGGUCCAACCUUUGGGACACUGAAGACCCAAUAUACUCUGUCUGCCCUGCUCAAGCAGGGCUUAGGCUGUGUCCUCUCCAAAGGUACCUUCUGCCUCAUCCAUGCUGUGACUCUAUGAUGUGACAAAGAAAAUAUUUGGCCUCGUUUCCAGAUGAGCACCUAAAAGAAAUGUUGUAUGUGAAGUCUACCUCUGGGCACAGGGCUUUCACUUCUAACUUGCGUGUCUAAUGGCAUUAGAAGUGGUUUCUGCGACGUCGUAAUUGCGUUGUGACUUCUUAAGUCUUAUCAAUAUCCACUGGUGAUAUGAGCAGCUUUGCCUCCUUCUCCCUUCCAGGUUAAUUUGGCCUAUUUAACAUCUUAUAUGUUUUACAAGACUUCUCUAUGGGAGGAUUUGUUACUGAACAUAUUGUAUAGUCUUGAAAGCGUAACAGAGCCAAGAAUUCAACAUCCUCAAGCUUUUUUUCCUGGCAAUUUAGCUUAAACCUUACGUUAAAAUCUGUCGUGGAAGCUUUAAAAAUGCGCCAGUGAAUCAUCUUUAGGUGAAUAUUUGCUUUCUGUGUAUGUGUUUAAACAUCUCUUCAUUAAAGAAAUCCAAAAUGACUCAACUUGCUGGAUUUUUUUUAAUAAUGAGUUUUUAAAGUCUGCAUUCCACAAAAUUGUUGGGAACCUUAACUCUUCUAUCGCUACCAGCAGAGACUGAGUAUUCAUCUUCAAAUCCUUAGAAGAAAAAUUACAUUUGCAUGUGGUACUGCAGGUCUUAAUAUUCACAGAAUGAUGUUCUUGAAGGUGGCAGACACAGCAGCAAAAUGAAGUUGACAUGAGUUCAAGAUGACCAGUGACUUAAAAUUUGGGGAAGAUAAUAAGAUGACUUAUUUACAGAGACUGUCUAUGCUACUGUUUAGGUUUUUCACAGCAAGUUACUUAUCAACCUGAUAGAAAUGCUGACACGCACAGCCUUAACUCCUGCAUCACCCAGAUGCUACUCUAACCUGAUUUGUGGCCGUUUCCUUGGAUGAAGAUAUGAAGUGGAUGUGCUUUCCAAAAUAUCUGUAAUUCCUCUGUAGGACAAAGAGUCUGUGCCAGAAGUACUUGUGAUUACAUGAUUCAAGCAGAUUUUUAUGAUUUUUUUUUUGUGCCUGUUAAAUGACAGUGUAACAUAUUUUAUACUGGCUGAACUACAGUUCUGUAAAUAAUAGCAAUAUUUUCAACAGAUUGUACCCUUCCCUGACCUUUGUGCCAAUAAAGCAUUGUGGCCUUUACUGACUCUUUUUUUUACAGGCUGUAGUAGCAGCAAUUUUUAUGAACUACAUCAUAUCGUUGUGUUGUCCUGUGUUUAUUAAUUAGCCAAAUUAGCAUAUAGGAUUUGUAGCACUGGGUAUGUCAGGCUACGUUUUUCUCUAGUUCUUAGUUUUCAAGCUUUAAAAAAUAGGAAUAUCUGUUAUUUCUUUAUUUUUAUUAUGCUGAGAAAGACAAUCCAUUACACAACAGAGAGAAAGGAAACAGACCAGAACAGUAAAGUAAAUAAUAAAUAACUAAGCUAUAACAAAACCAUCAGUGCUUUAGUAAAGAUUUGCUCAUCAGUACAAAUACAACUUUGACCACGGUCUCUCAGUCCUUCUGUUCAAGCUGUGUUUUCCUAAUGUUGUUUGGGGAGCCUCUGCUCUUCCAAUCACCUGGAGAGAUUUUGGCUGUAAGCAUGUGGCCCUAUGGGAUCACUUUUUGGUAGGUAUGACUAAAACACAAACUUUGUCAUUCCUAUUUUUCUUUAGGAGCAGCUUUGCUGGACUGUGUACACUGACACCGUGCCACUGGUCCUACACAACUAUGGCUGGGGAUUUCCCUACUCAGGAAGGAUGGGGUGGGGAACUGCUGUCAAAUAAAUACAGAUUGCUUGUGGUGGAGGUUGACACACACAGGCUGAUGACAGUGAUGCUUGCUUCUAUAUCCUAGUAGGAUAUAGAAUUUUGAGGUCUGAAAAACUUGCAGGAGAGAGUGGACAGAUCUAGAAACUGCUGUGUGUAUGUGAACAGUCAGUCAGUCAGUGUUAUUUUUCUAAAGUGAAAAAGAAGAUUUUGCUGUCGGUGUUACUGUCUGUAGCAAACAUUUAUGGAAAGUCUGAAACUUGAUACACAAAUAUUUGAACAUUUUCCUACUCUGUAUGGUGAAUCACAUGUAUAAAUAUGUUCUGCAGGCUUAGCAAGUAAGAACAUGUUUCAGUAAAUCUCCUUUGCAGAAAAACAUUAAUUCCCUAAUCAAUGUUCUCUUUUUAGUUUCCAUUGAUACGUAUGUUACAAAGUUCAGUAAAAAAAAUCAUUUAAAAGUAUUUUUAAUCAAAACCAAGUGAGAGUCAUAAUCAAUUUGUCUUAUGGAGACUUUCAUUAAACUGAUUUUUAUUUAUAUAAUAUGUUCUUGUUUGCUUCCCCUUUGAAAAUGUUUGAAAUGAGAUGCUUAAGGGCAAUCAAUAAUUUAAGCCACAGAAGAAGUGGUUCCACUCAUCGCUUUUGCUAGGAGUAAGGUUAUUAAUUUAAUUUCUCUUUUUCAAGUGAAGGUUUCAAAAAGUGAUAGGCCUAGGCUGAAUAUGGUUUGAGAGAUGUUUCCAUUUGACAGUAUCUGUGCAGAGGAAAAGAAUCACAUUUCAAAUGUUUGGGGAUCAAAGAAAGUGAAUGCGAUCAUGUAAGCUCUAAAUUGGAUUGUUAUGGCUUGUUUUAGUUAUGUAAAUAUUG